GAGCAGCAAGCCUGCUUUUUUUGUUUGUCGCCUUUCGAUGUUACACAAAUGGUGCUCUCUUAUUGGAUAAUCAAUUUUAUGCCAUACUUCGUCGUCUCUUCUUUCAUUCCUUCUUUACCUGGACAACUCGUAUAAAAGAACUUCGCACGACAGCGUUGAUCCAGGUUUCAACAACGACUUUGGAAGUUACAGACGGUGUCCUCUACCACAUCAAGGCAAAAUGAACGCAAAGGGGAUCCUCGCAGUACUCGCUGUUUGCGCUUUACUUGUUGCAGGUGCAUCCGCCUGCGGCGGUGAGGGCCGCUCCGAGUCAGGAAGAUGCGGUGACGGCGAGGCCCGAAGCGAACAAGCAGCUGCCGAGGCCCGCCUGGACAGCGCUGCAAUGUCCGGCGAAUCGGCUCGCUGCGGUGGGCAGUCCGGUCGAUGCGAUGGCUAGCGGCGCCCUCGAAUACGCAGAUUCUUCCGCCCAAAGCCAGCAGAAUUUAGCCAACUGCUGUGUGAUGGC